rnacentral:rRNA from 1 species
UACGGAGGGUGCGAGCGUUGUCCGGAAUCACUGGGCGUAAAGGGCGCGUAGGUGGCCGAGCAAGGUUGCGGUGAAAGCCCGGGGCUCAACCCCGGGUCGGCCGUGGCAACUACUCGGCUUGAGCACUGUAGGGGCGGGUGGAAGUUCCGGGAUGUAGCGGUGGAAUGCGUAGAUAUCGGGAGGAACACCAGUGGCGAAGGCGGUUGCCUGGAGCUUGCUGACGCUGAGCGCGAAAGCGUGGGAGCGAGCGG